CCAAAGGCUCUUUUCAGAGCCAUCCACAUUUUCAAAUAAAAGAGC
rfam:Heterocephalus glaber contig179875, whole genome shotgun sequence.